rnacentral:lncRNA from 1 species
AGCUAAGGUUUUGCUUAAUCAAGUUGUCUCCUUCAUCAAAAGUGCUUGAAAAUAUCAUGGUAUAAUUAUGUGUUCCGUUAUUUUGUUUUCUAUUAUUAUAUGCUUUUUAAUUUGUUAUGUUGUUCUUCAUGUUGGUUUUAUGUAUUCCUUCUUCAGGCUGCUUGUAUUCUGCUAGUAGUAAUAUGUCUUAUUUUAACUAAUGCCUCCAGUUAGAAAAAUCUUGUAAAGAAAAAAUAUAUCAACAAUGAAUUAGUUUUGGUAUAAGUAACUUGAACUUUUAAACAUAUAGUAUGAAGUUCGAUUUGUAGCUCCUACGUAUGGAAUAGGUUCAAAUUUAAUUGGGAGAGAAUAAUUCAUUUUUGUAUCUUAUAUAUUCAUCAAUGAAAAUAAAUCUCUUUUAAACGACG